AGGAAUAGGGUGAUCAACCCUCCUUGGCUGCCUGGAACUUCCAUGGUUUUAGCACUGCAAGUCCUGCACCUUGGAAUCCCUCAGUGGUAUUAGAUUUGGAUUCUAAUCCUGAUUCUAUUGCUGAUUCACUGUGAAAACAGAUACGUCUAUUCUGAGCAUAGUUCCCUCAUCUACAGAAUGAGGGGAAAGGGCUUCUUUAUAUUCUCCCAAGGUUGAAGGAGCUCUCAUCAGUCAUUGACUGAUUGACAGGUGCUGGGAUGAGGAUAGGAAUGAAUAAGCAUCAAUAGCGCCAAUGCCCUGGCAACUCCUGCCAUGGGAGUGGUGAGAUAAAGACUUCAGGCCACAGACAGCGGGUGCCUCAGUUAGAAGUCAGCAUGGGUGCAGUAAAGGGGUUGAAGGGAAGGUAGAGCCAGUGGUGUCUGCUGUAGUCCUGUGCUCUUUUGUCCUCUGCCAUUCUGAUUCCUUUGAAUCAAGUUCUACAAGUCUGAGUCCUGUCCCACAAAUAUCUGCCUCAUAAAAACGUGCAGAUAUUUUUCUAGGGUAUUGUAUUAGAUUGCUAGGAUUGCCAUAACAAAAUAUUGCAGGCCGGUGGGCUUGAAAAACAAAAAUUUAUUUUCUCAUAGUCCUAGAGGCUAGAAGUCUGAGGCAAGGUUGGUUUCUUCUGAGGCCUCUCUCCUCGGUUUGUAGGUGAUCAUUUUCUCUUUUGUCUUCAUAUGGUCUUCCCUCUGUGUGUGCCUGUCCUAAUCUUCUAAUCUUAUAAGAACACUGGUCAUAUUGAAUUAUGACCCAUCCAAAUGACCUUAUUUUACCUUACUUACCUCUUGAAAGACACUAUUUACAAAUACAGUCAGUCACAUUCUCAGGUAUUGGGGGUUAGGACUUCAACAUAUGAAUUUGAAUUUGGCGGGGACACAGUUCAGUCCUUGACAGGUAUAUAUUUAAAAAUGGAAUUGUUUGGCCAAAGAAUAUACACAUUUUAAAUUUGAAUAAGUU
rnacentral:lncRNA from 1 species